UGGCUCAGUUGGUAGAGCAUGGUGUGUGGAACGCCAGAGUUGUGGGUUCGAUUCCCAC
rfam:Salmo salar isolate Sally breed double haploid chromosome ssa12, whole genome shotgun sequence.